UUUGUGAACCAACCUGUUGCUUCGGGGGCGACCCUGCCGUCCGCGGCGCGGCGCCCCCGGAGGCUCUCAAACACUGCGUUAAUUACGUCGGAGUCUCAAGUAAAUUGAACAAAACUUUCAACAACGGAUCUCUUGGUUCUGGCAUCGAUGAAGAACGCAGCGAAAUGCGAUAAGUAAUGUGAAUUGCAGAAUUCAGUGAAUCAUCGAAUCUUUGAACGCACAUUGCGCCCCCUGGUAUUCCGGGGGGCAUGCCUGUUCGAGCGUCAUUUCACCACUCAAGCCUGGCUUGGUAUUGGGCGCCGCGUGUACCGCGCGCCUUAAAGUCUCCGGCUGAGCUGUCCGUCUCCUAGCGUUGUGAUACAUAUUCGCUACGGGUGCCGGGCGGCCGCGGCCGUUAAACUUCUU
rnacentral:rRNA from 1 species